CCUACGGGAGGCAGCAGUGAGGAAUAUUGGUCAAUGGGCGGAAGCCUGAACCAGCCAAGUAGCGUGCAGGAUGACGGCCCUACGGGUUGUAAACUGCUUUUAUACGGGAAUAACGCGCCUUACGUGUAGGGCUUUGCAUGUACCGUAUGAAUAAGGACCGGCUAAUUCCGUGCCAGCAGCCGCGGUAAUACGGAAGGUCCGGGCGUUAUCCGGAUUUAUUGGGUUUAAGGGGAGCGUAGGUCGCAUGUCAAGCGUGCUGUGAAAUGUCCGGGCUCAACCCGGGCCGUGUAGCGCGUACUGGCGUGCUUGAGUGCGCAGAAGGCGGGCGGAAU
rnacentral:rRNA from 1 species